GGGGACCGCAUGGGUAUGUGGGCCUCAGGCCCGCGGGGGGCGGGCGCGCUGCUGUGGAGCACUUUGCGGGCCACCUUCUUGUACGCCGUCUGGUGUGCGUACUGGUCCCGCGAGCCUGCUAAGCAGACGUCGGAGCAUGUGGUUCAGGAGGUGGUCAGCGAGCUGCGCAGGGUGAUGCAGCUGCGUUUCACUGCCGCCACGCUAACCCCUGAAACCCUGUCGGCUCUGCCCACUCAGCUUCUCACCGCACAGCUCAAGGCGGCUAAGCUGGAGCACUUUGUGGCCAUCUGGUCG
rnacentral:lncRNA from 1 species